UUCACUUCACAACUUUUCAUUUCUUCUUUCACUUAGUCAGGAGCUUUUGGCCAAAAACUCUCCACUGCUUGGCGAACUGAAUCUGGAAUUCCUCCCAUCAAGUAAAAGCUUUCUCUUCUCUUAAGGGCCUCCUUUGCUAUAACAUGAGCGUAGACAUUCUCUGCCUUAGGGAUAAAAUGAAAGUCGAUCUCCUGGAAUCUAUCUUUUUUGCUUUGUAUGUCUCUGAUAAUUGCUCCAAUGACAGAUUUGUCUGUAUCACUUCUUUGGCAUUUCUUAAUGAUAGUUUUCGAAUCUCCCACUACUUCUAUUUUGUUUAACCCCAUAGAAAUCCCUAAUUUUAUUGCCUGUAAUCCUGCAUAUGAUUCUGCCGUGAACGAAGUUGCUAUCUCGGAGUGCAUGACUGCCUUCGAUGCGAGGAUCUCCCCCUCCUCGUUCAGUACAAGCAAACCCGUAGUCGAUCUGGACGAUAGUCGGUCGAAGGUUGCGUCAAAAUAAACUGUGAUCUUUCCCCUUCUACAUAUCUGUUGAGUAUUUUCAGCUGGUUGAAGAGUAAAUCUUGUCUCCUCUAUUGCAUCCAGUUCUACCAUAUAGUUCCGAGUUUGUCUUGCUAUUUCGAUUCCUGUCAUAUGUCUUCUUUCAUAUAAUAACUUAUUUUUGCUGAACCAGAUUAACCAAAGACCAUAACAAAAGAGCCAGAUCUGCUCAUCUGUUCCUUUAUCAUAGACCCAGGUAAGCCAUUGCCAUAUAUUCAGAUUAUUAUGGCUGAAAACCUAUGCUAGUCUUAACUGAUUCCAAACUUCAAUUGUAAAUGGACAUUGUUGAAAAAUAUGAGUGUUGUCCUUAUCUCCUUGGCGACAUCUAGGACAUUGGGCAUCCACCACAACCCUCUUGAGCCUAAGGUUGACAAGAGACGGAAUGAAGUUCCAAGAUAUUCUCCAAACUGUAAUUUGAAUUUUUGAGGGGAUGUAUAAUUUCCAUAGUUUUCUGUAGAAAUUUUUAAUUUCGGUCUGUCAAAUAAUAGUAUUAGGAUCCAAGCAAAUUUCAUGUAAUAGUUUGUAGGCACUCCUAACGGAGAACUCCCCUGUCAACUCCCCUUUCCAUACUUGAAAAUCUUCGUGUGCUGUCUUCGCUAGCGGGAUCUUCAGAGUUUUUUCCGCUACAUCCAUUUGGAAGGUAUUCCUUGUGACCUUUGUUUUCCAGCUUCUAGUGAUGGCUUCGAUUAAAUUUGAAACUAACUUAAUAUUAUCAUUGUUGUCUUGGUUUGAUAUUCUAUCUGAUUCAUUUCCUGAUAUCAAUAAAUCAUCCCAAACAGAUAUUUGAUCCCCUCUCUCAACCCUCUAGCAUAAUCCUUUCUCCAGAAGCCCUCUCGUAGCCCAAACACUUUUCUAGGUAAGCGAAGGUAAAUUUCCUAAUCGAGCUUUGUAGAAAUUCGAAUUGGGAUAAUAUUUUGCCUUUAAAACGUAGGCUAAUAAUGAAUUUGGGGAAAUUGAUAAGACGCCACCCUGGUUUUGCUAAAAGCGCAACAUUAAACUUCGCAAGAUUUCGAAACCCAAGGCCACCAUCUUCUUUUAAUAAGCAUAAAUCUUUCCAAGCGCACCAAUGAAUACCUUUCCUAUUGUGCUUCUUUUGCCACCAGUAUUUAGCUAUUAUGCCUUCCAAUUCAGCACAUAGAGUUUUAGGAAGUUGAAAACAAGCCAUCGUAUAAGUUGGGAUAGAUUGGAGUAUAGCUUUAAUAAAAACUUCCUUUCCUUAUUGGGAGAGAUAUCUUAUACUCCAAUUGUUAAUUUGUUGUUUAAAUCUAUCCUUCAAAUUUUGAAAUGAUGACCUCUUUUUCCUUCCCACCAUAUUAGGGAGCCCUAGAUAUCUUUCUGGAUCCGUUGACCUUCUUACUCUAAGUAUGUUCGAAACUGCAACCCUUUCCCCUUCUUGUGUAUUUGAACUGAAGAAUACAAUAGAUUUAUCAUAAUUAACACAUUGACCUGAGCUCCUCUCAUACUCAUUCAAAACUUGUUUUAGUAACUGUGCCCCCCUUUCAGUAGCUUCGGCAAAUAAGAUACAGUCAUCUGUAAAGAGUAAAUGAGAGAUGGUUGGCCCACUUCGACUAACUUUAACUCCUUUUAUAAUGUUUCUUGUUCUCGCCAGUCGCAUUAGACUCGAAAGCCCUUCCCCACAAAGUAAAAACAAAAAUAGACUUAAAGGGUCCCCUUGUCUAAGACCUCUAGAUGGAAGAAAAUUUUCUCCUACAUUUUCGUUGAAAACUACAGAAUAUGAUACUAUAGACACACAAUUCAUUAACGAACUAACCCAUCUUGGGUCAAAUCCCAUUUUCGUCAUUACUCUUUCACAAAGCUCCAUUCAACCUUAUCAUAUGCCUUACUCAUAUCCAGUUUCACAGCCAUAAACCCUUUUUUUCCUGUCCUUUUGUGCUUUAAAGUGUGCAGAACUUCAUAAGCUAGUAAUACGUUAUCGAAAAUCAGUCUUCCUAGAACAAAAGCACUUUGUGCUGAAUCAAUGCAUUUAUGAAUCACUGCCCGAAGCCGAUUAGCAAUGACCUUAGCUAUCAAUUUAUAAAUCACAUUGCAUAAGCUAAUUGGCCUAAAUUGAGUAAUACUGAAAGGGUUUAAAAUUUUUGGGAUUAGCACAAUAUUUGUUUUGUUGAUUGAAUGUAAUUCCAUACUUUCAUUUAAUCUUUGAAGGCAAAAAGUGGAUACAUCCUCCCCAACGAUCGGCCAACAUUUUUUAUAGAAUAAGACUGGAAAACUAUCCUCUCCAGGUGCUUUUGUAGGACCCAUUUCUAAUAGAGCUUCUCUUAUUUCCUCCUUGGUGUAUCUUGUCUUUAAUUUCUCAUUAUCUUCAUAAAAAAUGCAUCUGUCAAUUCCGGACAAGAUU
rnacentral:lncRNA from 1 species